rnacentral:rRNA from 1 species
UUCUGGCUCAGGAUGAACGCUGGCGGCGUGCUUAACACAUGCAAGUCGAACGGAGUGUUUCACCGAAUGAACUGGAGAGCUUGCUCAAAGGGGAAUUCACCGAAGCAACUUAGUGGCGGACGGGUGAGUAACGCGUGGGUAACCUACCCUUAUCAGGGGGAUAACAGUCGGAAACGACUGCUAAUACCGCAUAAGCGCACAGUAUCGCAUGAUACAGUGUGAAAAAACUCCGGUGGAUAAGGAUGGACCCGCGUCUGAUUAGCUAGUUGGUGAGGUAACGGCCCACCAAGGCGACGAUCAGUAGCCGGCCUUAACGGGUGAACGGCCACAUUGGGACUGAGACACGGCCCAAACUCCUACGGGAGGCAGCAGUGGGGAAUAUUGCACAAUGGGGGAAACCCUGAUGCAGCGACGCCGCGUGAAGGAAGAAGUAUUUCGGUAUGUAAACUUCUAUCAGCAGGGAAGAUAGUGACGGUACCUGACUAAGAAGCUCCGGCUAAAUACGUGCCAGCCGCCGC